rnacentral:rRNA from 1 species
CAGUAGCCACGGGAAUACGCGGGUGGCAAGCGUUGUCCGGAAUUAUUGGGCGUAAAGGGCUCGCAGGCUGUUUCUUAAGUCUGAUGUGAAAGCCCCCGGCUCAACCGGGGAGGGUCAUUGGAAACUGGGAAACUUGAGUGCAGAAGAGGAGAGUGGAAUUCCACGUGUAGCGGUGAAAUGCGUAGAGAUGUGGAGGAACACCAGUGGCGAAGGCGACUCUCUGGUCUGUAACUGACGCUGAGGAGCGAAAGCGUGGGGAGCGAACAGGAUUAGAUACCCCGGUAGUCCCUGUCUCUUAUAC